UACGGAGGGUGCAAGCGUUAUCCGGAAUCACUGGGCGUAAAGGGCGCGUAGGCGGUCUCGUAAGUCCGAUGUUAAAGACCGGGGCUCAACCCCGACACGGCGUUGGAUACUGCUAGGCUUGACGGCUGGAGAGGCGAGUGGAAUUACCAGUGUAGCGGUGGAAUGCGUAGAUACUGGUAGGAACACCCAUUGCGAAGGCAGCUCGCUGGACAGCACGUGACGCUGAGGCGCGAAAGUGUGGGGAG
rnacentral:rRNA from 1 species